UAAGGAAUAUUGGUCAAUGGACGGAAGUCUGAACCAGCCAUGCCGCGUGCAGGAAGACGGCCCUACGGGUUGUAAACUGCUUUUGCAGGGGAAUAAACCUUCUUUCGUGAAAGAAGCUGAAUGUACUCUGAGAAUAAGGAUCGGCUAACUCCGUGCCAGCAGCCGCGGUAAUACGGAGGAUCCAAGCGUUAUCCGGAUUUAUUGGGUUUAAAGGGUGCGUAGGCGGCUUUUUAAGUCAGGGGUGAAAGACGGUAGCUUAACUAUCGCAGUGCCCUUGAUACUGAAGAGCUUGAAUGUAGUUGAGGUAGGCGGAAUGUGACAAGUAGCGGUGAAAUGCAUAGAUAUGUCACAGAACACCAAUUGCGAAGGCAGCUUACUAAGCUAUGAUUGACGCUGAGGCACGAAAGCGUGGGGAUCAAACA
rnacentral:rRNA from 1 species